CUUGGAAGGUGAGGCCUCCUAAUCGUGCGUGACAGUAAGCCGCUUGAAGAGAUAUUCUCCCAGAGAAGGCUGGGGCAUGACAGUUUGCAUUGGUUGGGGACCAGCCAGCCU
rnacentral:miRNA from 1 species